rfam:Bacteroides sp. CAG:927 genomic scaffold, scf12
GGGGUUGACUGGUUUUGACAGCGUGUAGAGAUGGUGUGUAAGCAUGCAGAGCCAUGAUGCCUGUGCUCUUAAAACUUGGACAUCAGCAAUUUUAAAUGGCGAAAAUAACUACGCUCUUGCUGCUUAAUUGAAGUACAGUAGAUUAGCUUAAUCGCUCCAAAAGUUGGAGCGACAAGACAUCGCCCGAUUGUCCUUUUUCCGAGACUAAUCGAUCAGGCGGUGCAGGUAAAUCGGGAAUAGGGAGCCGAAAGCCUCGCGAAGCUCCCGAAAAUUUAGAGGAUAAGGUUGUAAUUGGCAGUUUCCGGCCUGUUGCGACACGAAAACCAAGUGGAAACUAAGCAUGUAGAAAGCUCAUUAGCUCCGCGUUUGGACGAGGGUUCGAAUCCCUCCAGCUCCACUA